GAACCCUCAAGCUUUGCUUGGUGUUGGGUGUUUGUCCCGCUUUUGCGCGUGGACUCGCCUUAAAGUCAUUGGCAGCCAUGUAAUUCGGCUUUGAGCGCAGCACAUUGCGAUCUCUAUGCUGGUACAUUGGCUUCCAGAAGCCUUUUUUAAC
rnacentral:misc_RNA from 1 species